rnacentral:rRNA from 1 species
UACGCCGCGUGAGGGAUGAAGGCCUUCGGGUUGUAAACCUCUUUCAGCAGGGAAUAAGCGAAGUGAAGGUACCUGCAGAAGAAGCACCGGCUAACUAUGUGCCAGCAGCCGCGGUAAUACAUAGGGUGCAAGCGUUGUCCGGAAUUAUUGGGCGUAAAGAGCUCGUAGGUGGUCGAUCACGUCGGAUGUGAAAAUCUGAGGCUUAACCUCAGACCUGCAUUCGAUACGGGUUGACUAGAGUGUGGUAGGGGAGACUGGAAUUCCUGGUGUAGCGGUGGAAUGCGCAGAUAUCAGGAGGAACACCGACGGCGAAGGCAGGUCUCUGGGCCAUUACUGACACUGAGGAGCGAAAGUGUGGGGAGCGAACAGGAUUAGAUACCCUGGUAGUCCACACCGUAAACGGUGGGCGCUAGUUGUGGGAACCUUCCACGGUUUCUGCGACGCAGCUAACGCAUUAAGCGCCCCGCCUGGGGAGUACGGUCGCAAGACUAAAACUCAAAGAAAUUGACGGGGCCCCGCACAAGCAGCGGAGCAUGCGGCUUAAUUCGACGCAAC